AUACUUACCUGGCAGGGGAGACACCAUGAUCAGGCAGGUGGGUUUCCCAGGGCGAGGCUCAUCCCCCGC
rnacentral:snRNA from 13 species